rnacentral:rRNA from 1 species
CGAGGCGUGAAGGGGGAGGGGGGAAAGGGAUACGUUCUGAAGAGUGGGAAACUGAAGAAAAAGAGGAGCUAUACCGGAUACAUAUUGAACCGCAUGGUUCAAUAGUGAAAGGCGGCUUUGCUGUCACUUAUAGAUGGAUCCGCGCCGUAUUAGCUAGUUGGUAAGGUAACGGCUUACCAAGGCAACGAUACGUAGCCGACCUGAGAGGGUGAUCGGCCACACUGGAACUGAGACACGGUCCAGACUCCUACGGGAGGCAGCAGUAGGGAAUCUUCCGCAAUGGGCGAAAGCCUGACGGAGCAACGCCGCGUGAGUGAUGAAGGUCUUCGGAUCGUAAAACUCUGUUAUCAGGGAAGAACAAAUGUGUAAGUAACUGUGCACAUCUUGACGGUACCUGAUCAGAAAGCCACGGCUAACUACGUGCCAGCAGCCGCGGUAAUACGUAGGUGGCAAGCGUUAUCCGGAAUUAUUGGGCGUAAAGCGCGCGUAGGCGGUUUUUUAAGUCUGAUGUGAAAGCCCACGGCUCAACCGUGGAGGGUCAUUGGAAACUGGAAAACUUGAGUGCAGAAGAGGAAAGUGGAAUUCCAUGUGUAGCGGUGAAAUGCGCAGAGAUAUGGAGGAACACCAGUGGCGAAGGCGACUUUCUGGUCUGUAACUGACGCUGAUGUGCGAAAGCGUGGGGAUCAAACAGGAUUAGAUACCCUGGUAGUCCACGCCGUAAACGAUGAGUGCUAAGUGUUAGGGGGUUUCCGCCCCUUAGUGCUGCAGCUAACGCAUUAAGCACUCCGCCUGGGGAGUACGACCGCAAGGUUGAAACUCAAAGGAAAUUGACGGGGACCCCGCCAACAAGCCGGGUGGGAGCAUGGUGGU